rnacentral:rRNA from 1 species
GAUGAACGCUGGCGGCGUGCCUAAUACAUGCAAGUCGAACGCUUUAUCUUUAAUUGAUAUGAAGAGCUUGCUCUGAUUUGAUUUUAUCUGACAAAGAGUGGCGAACGGGUGAGUAACACGUGGGUAACCUACCUCUUAGCAGGGGAUAACAUUUGGAAACAAGUGCUAAUACCGUAUAACACUAACAACCGCAUGGUUGUUAGUUGAAAGAUGGUUCUGCUAUCACUAAGAGAUGGACCCGCGGUGCAUUAGCUAGUUGGUAAGGUAAUGGCUUACCAAGGCGAUGAUGCGUAGCCGAGUUGAGAGACUGAUCGGCCACAAUGGGACUGAGACACGGCCCAUACUCCUACGGGAGGCAGCAGUAGGGAAUCUUCCACAAUGGGCGCAAGCCUGAUGGAGCAACGCCGCGUGUGUGAUGAAGGGUUUCGGCUCGUAAAACACUGUUAUAAGAGAAGAACGACAUUGAGAGUAACUGUUCAGUGUGUGACGGUAUCUUAUCAGAAAGGAACGGCUAAAUACGUG